rnacentral:rRNA from 1 species
AGUGAACGCUGGCGGUAGGCCUAACACAUGCAAGUCGAACGGCAGCACAGUAAGAGCUCGCCCCUACGGGUGGCGAGUGGCGGACGGGUGAGGAAUACAUCGCAAUCUACUUUUUCGUGGGGGAUAACGUAGGGAAACUUACGCUAAUACCGCAUACGACCUACGGGUGAAAGCAGGGGAUCUUCGGACCUUGCGCGUUUGAUUGAGCCGAUGUCGGAUUAGCUAGUUGGCGGGGUAAAGGCCCACCAAGGCGACGAUCCGUAGCUGGUCUGAGAGGAUGAUCAGCCACACUGGAACUGAGACACGGUCCAGACUCCUACGGGAGGCAGCAGUGGGGAAUAUUGGACAAUGGGCGCAAGCCUGAUCCAGCCAUACCGCGUGGGUGAAGAAGGCCUUCGGGUUGUAAAGCCCCUUUGUUGGGAAAGAAAAGCAGCAGGUUAAUACCCCGCUGUUCUGACGGUACCCAAAGAAUAAGCACCGGCUAACUUCGUG